UACGGAGGGGGCUAGCGUUGUUCGGAAUUACUGGGCGUAAAGCGCACGUAGGCGGAUUCUUAAGUCAGGGGUGAAAUCCCGGAGCUCAACUCCGGAACUGCCUUUGAUACUGAGAAUCUCGAGUCCGGGAGAGGUGAGUGGAACUCCGAGUGUAGAGGUGAAAUUCGUAGAUAUUCGGAAGAACACCAGUGGCGAAGGCGGCUCACUGGCCCGGUACUGACGCUGAGGUGCGAAAGCGUGGGGAGCAAACAGG
rnacentral:rRNA from 1 species